rnacentral:rRNA from 1 species
UACGGAGGGGGCUAGCGUUGUUCGGAAUUACUGGGCGUAAAGCGCACGUAGGCGGACUGUUAAGUCUAGGGUGAAAGCUCCCGGCUCAACUGGGAGAGGUCCUUGGAUACUGGCGGACUUGAGGGAGGCAGAGGAGUAUGGAAUUCCCGGUGUAGUGGUGAUAUGCGUAGAUAUCGGGAGGAACACCAGUGGCGAAGGCGGUACUCUGGGCCUUACCUGACGCUGAGACGCGAAAGCGUGGGGAGCGAACAGG